UACGUAGGGUGCGAGCGUUGUCCGGAAUUACUGGGCGUAAAGGGCGCGUAGGCGGGAUGGCAAGUCGGUCGUGAAAUCCUUCGGCUCAACCGAAGAACGUCGAUCGAUACUGCUGUUCUAGAGGAUUGCAGAGGAGACUGGAAUUCCCGGUGUAGCGGUGAAAUGUGUAGAGAUCGGGAGGAACACCGGUGGCGAAGGCGGGUCUCUGGGCAAUUCCUGACGCUGAGGCGCGAAAGCGUGGGGAGCAAACGGG
rnacentral:rRNA from 1 species